rnacentral:rRNA from 1 species
CCUACGGGUGGCAGCAGUGGGGAAUAUUGCACAAUGGGGGAAACUCUGAUGCAGCGACGCCGCGUGAGUGAAGAAGUAAUUCGUUAUGUAAAGCUCUAUCAGCAGGGAAGAAAAUGACGGUACCUGAGGAAGAAGCUCCGGCUAACGACGUGCCAGCAGCCGCGGUAAUACGUAGGGGGCCAGCGUUAUCCGGAUUUACUGGGUGUAAGGGGAGCGUAGUCGGCAGUGAAAGUCUGGAGUGAAAGGCGGGGGCUCAACCCCCGGACUGCUGUGGAAACUGUACGGCUGGAGUGCAGGAGAGGUGAGUGGAAUUCGUAGUGUAGCGGUGAAAUGCGUAGAUAUUAGGAGGAACACCAGUGGCGAAGGCAGCUUACUGGACUGUAACUGACGUUGAGGCUCGAAAGCGUGGGGAGCAAACAGGAUUAGAUACCCCUGUAGUC